GUAUAAUUUCAGAUUUAAUUAAUAGUAAAUUACUUUUUGAAUCUCUAUGUUUUAUUGGUUUUAACCAUUUAAAUCCAAAAUCGAAAAGUUUAACGCCCUGAGUCUCUAACCACUCAUUCACACCCUCUGAAAAAAAUUCAAAAAACCUUUUGUAAGGUCGAGUUCUCUAAGUUCUCACAACUCGUAGAAGUUUUCAUUUUACCCUAACUAUAUAUAUUUGUUAAGAUAAAAUAUAUUAUUUGGAUAUAGGGUGGGAGUUGCCUUCAAAGUCCAUUUUUCCUACAAAGGGUAAAAAGUCAUAAAACACCAUAAUGUCAACCAUAAAACACACUCAAAACCCACAAAUAACAUAGUGGAGGUUACUAAAACACCAUAUUUUUGGGUUUUGUAUUGUGUUUUGAAUGAUAUGGCUUUGAUUAUCGAAUGACUAACAUUAGUGUGUUUUAUGUUGAUUAUUAUAUUUGAUCUUCACUAUAUUAUUUGUAGGUUUUGAGUGUGUUCUAUGGCUGAAAUUGUGGUGUUUUAAGACUUUGUACACUUUGUAGGAAAAAUGGACUUUGUAGCGGAACCCUACCCUUUGGAUAUAAACAAUAAUUACUAAUAAAAUAUCAAAUCACAUGUACAAGUACUUAUAGUAUAUAACUUCGAAGACAAAAAUUACAAGCGAAUUAUCUAAAUAAGGAGUAGGAUCAAAUACA
rnacentral:lncRNA from 1 species